rnacentral:rRNA from 1 species
GGGUUAAGUCCGUAACGAGCGCAACCCUUGUCCUUAGUUACCAGCACGUUAUGGUGGGCACUCUAAGGAGACUGCCGGUGACAACCGGAGGAAGGGUGGGGAUGACGUCAAGUCAUCAUGGCCCUUACGGCCUGGGCUACACACGUGCUACAAUGGUCGGUACAAAGGGUUGCCAAGCCGCGAGGUGGAGCUAAUCCCAUAAAACCGAUCGUAGUCCGGAUCGCAGUCUGCAACUCGACUGCGUGAAGUCGGAAUCGCUAGUAAUCGUGAAUCAGAAUGUCACGGUGAAUACGUUCCCGGGCCUU